rnacentral:misc_RNA from 1 species
AUUUCAGCUUCUAUAAAUACUCCCCUUGAAUCUUUUCAUUAAACACACAUCAUUUCUCUGUUCUCUCAAAUUCUUCUUCCUUUCUACAGAUCUAGAGCUUUCUUUUCCAUUCUCAGCUAGAUAUGGAGACUUUCUUGUUCACCUCAGAGUCAGUUAACGAAGGACAUCCCGACAAGCUUUGUGACCAGGUUUCAGAUGCCAUUCUUGAUGCUUGCCUGGAGCAGGAUCCCGAA